rnacentral:rRNA from 1 species
AUACGUAGGUGGCGAGCGUUGUCCGGAAUUACUGGGCGUAAAGGGUGCGUAGGCGGGUUUUUAAGUCAGAUGUGAAACCCCCGGGCUUAACCUGGGGAUUGCAUUUGAAACUGGGAGCCUAGAGUGCAGGAGAGGGAAGCGGAAUUCCUAGUGUAGCGGUGAAAUGCGUAGAUAUUAGGAAGAACACCAGUGGCGAAGGCGGCUUUCUGGACUGUAACUGACGCUGAGGCACGAAAGCGUGGGGAGCAAACAGGAUUAGAUACCCUGGUAGUCCACGCUGUAAACGAUGAGUGCUAGGUGUAGGGGGUGUCAUGCCUUCUGUGCCGGAGCAAACGCAAUAAGCACUCCGCCUGGGGAGUACGGUCGCAAGACUAAA